UGCCAGCAGCCGCGGUAAGACGGAGGGUGCAAGCGUUGUUCGGAAUUACUGGGCGUAAAGCGCGUGUAGGCGGUUAGGUAAGUCAGAUGUGAAAGCCCACGGCUCAACCGUGGAAGUGCACCUGAUACUGCUUAACUAGAGUACCGGAGAGGAAAGGAGAAUUCCCGGUGUAGAGGUGAAAUUCGUAGAUAUCGGGAGGAAUACCGGCGGCGAAGGCGCCUUUCUGGACGGAUACUGACGCUGAGACGCGAAAGCGUGGGGAGCAAACAGGAUUAGAUA
rnacentral:rRNA from 1 species